GAUGUGGGCACAAGGUUGUGAACGUCAGAGGCUUAGAAAUCUAGUCGGUGGCUUUGCUUGUCUUGGUCACCAUGGCAUGAUGCCUUAUUGGGCCCUCUAGACAUGCAGAUUCAUGUUAACGGUUGGGCUCGCAGCUGGUGUGUACCUGGGGACUGGUCAUUGCUGGGCAUUUGCUCAUUUGCUGGUGUUGCAGGUUGUGUAGAUAUAGGCACAGAUGGGCAUGUAUCUGUAAGUGCGCUGAGUUGUACAAGGAAACAGCUACAGAUAUGAGUGGUAGCAUGGGCGGAGUAGGUUUGUACGGCUGAAUAUGUGUACACUUGUGUACGGCUGAAUACAUGCCUUGGCAUCUCUGAACGGGCCUGCAUGUGUUGGACUGCUGUUGGGGGUGCUGGCUGUGAGGUGUUUGCAGCUCAACAGUGGGUGUACUGCUUUCAGGAAGGGAGGCGCGCUGGGGCAGCAAAGUGAUGCUGUAUGAGUAGAUUGUUUGGCAAGCAAGGGUGUGAGAAGUCAUUGCAAUUGUGUACUUUGAGGGCAGGUGGCACAGGCUGGCNNNNNNNNNNNNNNNNNNNNNNNNNNNNNNNNNNNNNNNNNNNNNNNNNNACUUUUUUUUUACUCGGCUAGUAGACUUCCCGCCCACCUGGGCAUCCACCUUUGGGGUGAGAGUAUGCUGCAUCAUGCCUGGUGUGCGAUCUGCUCGCAACCAAAUUCGAUCCGGGGAGUUCCCACCUCCUAGCAAUUCGCACCAAUGUAACACCAGGCAAAGAGUACUCAGUUGGGAGAUGCCAGGGGAGCUGAUCCCUCUUACAGCAGAUGCCCCAUGUGUUGUGACUGGUGACUUUGCACUGGGCAGGCAAUAUUGGGUGGAUGUGCAUAUCUAAAGGCCCACAGGGGAAAAUCCGGUGGAAGAAUCACUGGAAAUCAGUGCCAUUUUUAAAAUCAGGGAUGCGCACAGAGUGUGGCAAUGGCAUGGGUUCUGCACACCAUCUGACAAGCCUUUCUCAUGUUGUGGGUUGUUGCAAUGACAUGCAGGUGGAUGAGAACUGCAGCAGGAAACGCCUAGUCUUUGGCUCCGGGAUGAUCGGCCAGCGUGUGAUGCAGGAGUUGCAUCGGCAGGGUACUGCUGAGUUGGCCAAAUUCGUUAAGUGGUCCGCUGGCAGACCAGAUUUGGCCUCACUUAGAGGCAUAAUGUUCCAGGGGCUAGCACAUUACUUGCUGUGCCGGGGCGGCUCGUUUCGUAUGCGCAGCCUUUCUAACCCCGGAGAGCAGGAGGUCAGCCUGGAGGUGCCGGAAAUGGAGUUGAUGGAGGUGCAGGACAGCGACCUCAAAAAAAUCAGCCCCACAACAAAAGGGUCUGGGCUCCUGGUGCCGGUGGCGAGGAACUUUCCUGCCGUGGACAGCUUUUUGAUUUUGCCUGACAGCAACGGCAAGGCAGCGCGACUGCUCCUUAUCCAGGUGACUGUCUCUGCCAAUCACCGUAUUAGCGCGUCAGGGCUGCAAACCUCCAUGCGGAAACUGUCCAGGGACCUGAAGGGGCUCAAGCGCGAAAUGUACUUUGCAGUGCCGCCCGACCUGUUCAAGCAGUUCAGGAAGCAACAGUUUGAGGGGGCAGCUAAGGACUCCAUCGAGAUCGAUCAGUUUGCCAUCGAGAUCCCCCUGGUAGGCUUUGCCCCUGGUUCCGAAUCCAGCAGCCCUGGAAGCUCCAGCAGCAGCAGCAGCAGCAACUUUCCGAUGCUGGCAGAGUGCCAAUGUGCGCCGUUGCUUUGAGCAGGUCCCCACGGGGCAUCUCAAUUCCGAGGCGCAGCCAUCUGCCACGGUUGAAUCCGCGCAUGGUCAUCCUUCCGAAACUGCAUAUCUCGAGCAUCUCCUCUGCUGCCCCCAGUGGGCGGUGAUGGUGUCGCCACUGCAGCUGUGGCAGCUGCAUCCGCUGGUGAUGGCUGGUAUGGUGGCCGCUGUGGAUGUGGGCACAAGGUUGUGAACGUCAGAGGCUUAGAAAUCUAGUCGGUGGCUUUGCUUGUUUUGGUCACCAUGGCAUGAUGCCUUAUUGGGCCCUCUAGACAUGCAGAUUCAUGUUAACGGUUGGGCUCGCAGCUGGUGUGUACCUGGGGACUGGUCAUUGCUGGGCAUUUGCUCAUUUGCUGGUGUUGCAGGUUGUGUAGAUAUAGGCACAGAUGGGCAUGUAUCUGUAAGUGCGCUGAGUUG
rnacentral:lncRNA from 1 species